rnacentral:lncRNA from 1 species
ACAUGUUAUUUGUGGCUUCAAAGAACAGCUUACUUUCAUGACUACAUGUGAAUGUCACAUAUCUCAUAACCUUAUCGUCACCCUUUUUCGAAUUUCGUUUCCUCAAUGGAAAGCCUAUGGCAUAAGCACAUCUUUUAUAGAAGUCCAACAUUUCUUUUUCACUAUUAAACAUCACACACCUCAAGCUUAGUCACAACAUCUCCUCCUAAUUUUUCAUUGUCUAAUGUGUUCGAAUUUGUCGCUACAUUCUCGUUAUCACAUUCUACCAAGACAUCAUGAUUCUCAUCUUCUAUAAUCUCUUUUCCU